GGGUAAAGCAAAGUCUUCAAGGGAAGAUAACAAAGGAUGAAACAAUGGUGUUGUGUGACUUCCUAGUGUGAAUCAUGGCAAUACAGUGAAAGAUAGUGAUUUACUGCUUUUGAGGGCGUGCAUGUAUAUGAUUAACGGAUGGAAGUGCAGGACUCCAAGAUUUACUUCCUUCCCUUUCCAGCAGAAUUACCUGAGAUGAGUAAAAUCUACUGGUGGAGUCACUCCAUUAUUCUUAUCUGUGGAGAUCUAGAUCUUGAUUUGAAAGUUUCUGAGAAAAUCUUCAGCUCAGACUUGAGGGUCAACUUUACCAGCUGAAGGAUCUGCAUUUACUGCUCAACUACAUCUAAUUUGAUGUCCUCUGCAGAUUUAAAAUGUGUGCCUUCUUUUCCAUCACCAGGUCAUCCCUGGGUUACUACUGAACAUCCUUCUCAAUUCCCCCUGACCCAUGGAUGGCUGUUCUCCAUUGUCUGUUUCACCAGAUGUCCUCAAAACAAACAGACAGAAGAAGGAAGUGGCUAAUGGAGCUGUGGAGUCCAAGUGUGACUGCCAAGAGGAAUCCAGCAAAGCCAAAAAGCCCAAGCAUGUAGCCCUGCCCGAAGCCCGCCACACGCAUGGAAAACCCAGAGGAAAUGAGUGAGGAUCAAUGGGAAGAAGGGAGCCAGCCAGGUUCGAUGCCUUCUCCAUCCGUCAGUGAGGGUGUGGAGAGCCUGCAGGCGUGUGCCUCCCUCUGUAACUUGCUAUUCCUUGUGUAAUGUCAAGUGGAAGUGUGAAGCACCACAAACUGCUCUGAGCAGAGCCCACUUCCCUUCACCCACAGAGAGCGUGAAGCAGUUACACCAACAUCAAUCAAGGAAAACCCACAGGCUGAGCUCACACGGUUGAAGCAGGAAGUUGAAGAUUUGUCCAGGAGCAGAUAGCUGAAGAGAGAGAGAGAGAAGAGAGAAUGGCUUACAGCUCAGGUCCUCUCUCCAUGCUUAGGAACCACUACAAAUGCUACUGCCUUGAGUCUCAUUUUGUUUCCCUCUGGAAACCACAUGUGUACCUUGUUUGCAGCAGUAUGGUUCUGGAGGCCAGAAGGCCAAAAUCAAAAGUAUGGGCAGGCUUGAUUUCUUCAGAAGACUCCAGCGGAGAACUGUGUCUCCUUGCUUCUGAUUCCACAUCUCCAUCCAUGGGCCACUGUUUCAGCAACCUCAGCCAGUGCAACACAACCUCAGCCAAGAAGAUUUGUUAGACUUUGGAUGGUGGAGACCUGUGCCUGCUGCUUCUCUCAUCUCCUGAUACCUAAUGCAUAGUGUUCAGGCACCGAGGAAGAGAACCAAUGGCAGAGGCCACAUGUGCAAGCAAGAUGGGAGUCUGGAGAGCCUCAGGCUAAAUCACGAGUGCUCAGCCCUCUCCUCUUUGUAAGGGCAACCGCGUCAUAUCUGCCAGCAUAGAACUGCUCUGUCCACAGCCCUAAAAUCUAAUACCUAGAACAAUAAAUGCACUUAAGUACGUCAA
rnacentral:lncRNA from 1 species